GACGAACGCUGGCGGCGUGCCUAAUACAUGCAAGUCGAGCGCAGAAGGUUGGAACUUGUACCAAUUGGAUGAGCAGCGGACGGGUGAGUAACGCGUGGGUAACCUGCCUUUGAGAGGGGGAUAACAUCUGGAAACCAAUGCUAAUACCGCAUAAUAUCUUUAAACACAAGUUUUAAGUGUGAAAGAUGCAAUUGCUUCACUUAAAGAUGAUACCUCGGUGUAUUAGCUAGUUGGGGAGGUAAAGGCCCACCCAGGCGAAGAUACAUAACCGGCCGGGGGAGGUGGACGGCCGAAAUGGGAAUGGAGCACGGGCCAAACUCCUACGGGAGGCAGCAGGAGGGAAACUUCGGGCAAUGACGGAAGGCUUGCCGAGGCACGCCGCGGUGAGUGAGGAGGGUUUCGGAACGUAAAACUCCGUUUGUUGGGAAGAACGUUGGUGAGAGUGGAAAGCUCAUGAAUUGACGGUACCUACCCAGAAAGGGACGGCUAACUACGUG
rnacentral:rRNA from 1 species